AGAGUUUGAUCAUGGCUCAGAGUGAACGCUGGCGGCAGGCCUAAUACAUGCAAGUCGAACGGCAGCACAGCAGAGCUUGCUCUGUGGGUGGCGAGUGGCGGACGGGUGAGGAAUACGUGGGAAUCUGCCCAGUCGUGGGGAUAACGUGGGGAAACUUACGCUAAUACCGCAUGCGCCCUUCGGGGGAAAGCCGGGGACCUUCGGGCCUGGCGCGAUUGGAUGAGCCCACGUCGGAUUAGCUAGUUGGCGGGUAAAGGCCCACCAAGGCGACGAUCCGUAGCUGGUCUGAGAGGAUGAUCAGCCACACUGGAACUGAGACACGGUCCAGACUCGUACGGGAGGCAGCAGUAGGGAAUAUUGGACAAUGGGCGCAAGCCUGAUCCAGCCAUGCCGCGUGAGUGAAGAAGGCCCUCGGGUUGUAAAGCUCUUUUGUCCGGAAAGAAAAGCGCCGGGUUAAUACCCUGGUGUCCUGACGGUACCGGAAGAAUAAGCACCGGCUAACUUCGUG
rnacentral:rRNA from 1 species